GACGAACGCUGGCGGCGUGCCUAAUACAUGCAAGUCGAACGAGAGCAACCGGUGCUUGCACUGGUCAAUCUAGUGGCGAACGGGUGAGUAACACGUGGGUAACCUGCCCAUCAGAGGGGGAUAACAUCCGGAAACGGAUGCUAAAACCGCAUAGGUCUUCGAACCGCAUGGUUUGAAGAGGAAAAGAGGCGCAAGCUUCUGCUGAUGGAUGGACCCGCGGUGCAUUAGCUAGUUGGUGAGGUAACGGCUCACCAAGGCCGUGAUGCAUAGCCGACCUGAGAGGGUGAUCGGCCACAUUGGGACUGAGACACGACCCAAACUCCUACGGGAGGCAGCAGUAGGGAAUCUUCCGCAAUGGACGCAAGUCUGACGGAGCAACGCCGCGUGAGUGAAGAAGGUUUUCGGAUCGUAAAACUCUGUUGUUAGAGAAGAACAAGUGCUAGAGUAACUGUUAGCGCCUUGACGGUAUCUAACCAGAAAGCCACGGCUAACUACGUG
rnacentral:rRNA from 1 species